GAUGAAGAACGUAGCGAAAUGCGAUAAGUAAUGUGAAUUGCAGAAUUCCGUGAAUCAUCGAAUCUUUGAACGCACAUUGCGCCCUCUGGUAUUCCGGGGGGCAUGCCUGUCCGAGCGUCAUUUGCAACCCUCAAGCCCGGCUUGUGUGAUGGGUGCCGUCCCCUACGGGACGCGCCCCGAAGGCAAUGGCGGCGUCGCGGUUAUCCGAUCAGCCAAAGUGUAUGGGGCUUUGUCACUCACUUUACGGCCCGGACCGGCGCCAGUCCGAAUCAAUCUUUUUUCUAGAGUUGACCUCGGAUCAGGUAGGGAUACCCGCUGAACUUAAGCAUAUCAAUAAGCGGAGGA
rnacentral:misc_RNA from 1 species